rnacentral:rRNA from 1 species
GUCCACGCCGUAACGAUGCUAACUCGUUUGGAUUUCGGAUUCAGAGACCAAGCGAAAGUGAUAAGUUAGCCACCUGGGGAGUACGUCCGCAAGGAUGAAACUCAAAGGAAUUGACGGGCCCGCACAAGCGGUGGAUUAUGUGGUUUAAUUCGAUGAUACGCGAGGAACCUUACCAAGACUUAAAUGGGAAUUGACAGGUUUAGAAAUAGACCCUCUUCGGGCAAUUUCCAAGGUGCUGCAUGGUUGUCGU